AAUCUUCACCUGAGUCCGAGGCUCCGACCUCCGUCCAGAUUUCUCAGCCCAAUCGCUCUCCGAAGAGAAUGACUUCGAGUAUGGAUAGUAGCAUUCCACCACCUACAUCUAGCGAUGAAGAUUGGAAUAACCCAUUAUGAAGGUACUACAGUGAUCAUGGCUCAAUGAAGAGCCUAUUCGAGUUUCUCCUUACAAGGAUAAAGAGAUCAACCAAGAAAGACUAAAAUGCCUUAAGAAAUAUUUUCCUAACUUGGAUGAGCGUAACAAGGCUCAUCCCUUUUUUUGUCCAGUAAGACCUGCGGAAGCAUCAGAAAUUAUGC